rnacentral:rRNA from 1 species
AUACGUAGGGGGCGAGCGUUAUCCGGAAUUAUUGGGCGUAAAGCGCGCGCAGGCGGCCGGUUAAGUCAGGUGUGAAAGGCUGCGGCUCAACCGCAGAGCGGCAUCUGAAACUGGUCGGCUUGAGUGCAGGAGAGGGGAGCGGAAUUCCCGGUGUAGCGGUGGAAUGCGUAGAGAUCGGGAGGAACACCAGUGGCGAAGGCGGCUCUCUGGCCUGUAACUGACGCUGAGGCGCGAAAGCGUGGGGAGCAAACAGGAUUAGAUACCCUGGUAGUCCACGCCGUAAACGAUGAGUGCUAGGUGUUGGGGGGUACGCCCCUCAGUGCCGAAGGUAACCCAUUAAGCACUCCGCCUGGGGAGUACGGCCGCAAGGCUGAA